GUUUUAUCGUUCCAAGAACUUCGCCGGUGAUCGCUAUCGUUAUCAUUUUAGAAGGUGAUUUGCUGGGCUAUUUUUUGCUCCUGCGUCACCAUUGCGUGCACAUAAGCUCGUUCAUCAAUUUCUGAUAAAAUAGUUUCGGCGCAGCUAAUCGCUUUAAGCGCUGGCCUUGUUAAAAUGAUGGAUAGUUUGUCACGAGUACAAUGACAUGAUGCAAUAUUGCGAAAUAAUGCUGCAGCAUUAAAAAAUAACAUGCAAUGUUUCUACAUCAGUUGUUUUUUUUUAUGUAAAUUGUUUAAAUAUGGGGAGAAAAAGGAGAGCACGAGGCUCGGUUAGUUGUUGGUUAUGGUAUUUUUGGGGUGACAAAAAACGUGGAUCACUGUGGGUCCGGUUCCCCGGUCAGAGCUGAGGUUCCGGUUUCUAAGAAGGAGGCUGACCCUUCUCCUUAAAGGAUCUUGGGGCGCAGUGAUACGCCCUUCAGAUCCUACUGUGUUAACCUUCGCUGUUACUCCGUGGAAGAGAGCGCACGAGCGAAAAGGUGAGAGAACAAAGGAUCUGGUUUGAUGUUCGCUCGGUCUAGUGGAGCUCGAUCCUCGGCCGUCAGAUGUCGCUGCUCCCCCUUCUUAGGUGAUGGCUUCCAGUAGGCUGUCGAUGGCGUCUUUGUACUGUUGUCUCCUUCGUUGAGCUUCCACUCUGUGUCUGAAAUAAAUCUGUGCUUUUGUCUUGUUAA